UACGUAGGGUGCAAGCGUUGUCCGGAAUUAUUGGGCGUAAAGAGCUCGUAGGUGGUUUGUUACGUCUGCUGUGAAAACCUAGGGCUUAACCCUGGGCUUGCAGUGGAUACGGGCAGACUAGAGGUAGGUAGGGGAGAAUGGAAUUCCUGGUGUAGCGGUGAAAUGCGCAGAUAUCUGGAGGAACACCGGUGGCGAAGGCGGCAUCCUGGACCAACACUGACGCUGAGGAGCGAAAGCCAGGGGAGCAAACGGG
rnacentral:rRNA from 1 species